GAUGAACGCUGGCGGCGUGCCUAAUACAUGCAAGUCGAGCGAACGGACGAGAAGCUUGCUUUUCUGAUGUUAGCGGCGGACGGGUGAGUAACACGUGGAUAACCUACCUAUAAGACUGGGAUAACUUCGGGAAACCGGAGCUAAUACCGGAUAAUAUUUUGAACCGCAUGGUUCAAAAGUGAAAGACGGUCUUGCUGUCGCUUAUAGAUGGAUCCGCGCUGCAUUAGCUAGUUGGUAAGGUAACGGCUUACCAAGGCAACGAUGCAUAGCCGAACUGAGGGGGGGAUCGCCCGCACUGGAACUGGGACGCGGUCCAGACUACUACGGGAGGCAGCAGUAGGGAAUCUUCCGCAAUGGGCGAAAGCCUGACGGAGCAACGCGGCGUGAGUGAUGAAGGUCUUCGGAUCGUAAAACUCUGUUAUUAGGGAAGAACAGAUGUGUAAGUAACUGUGCACAUCUUGACGGUACCUAAUCAGAAAGCCACGGCUAACUACGUG
rnacentral:rRNA from 1 species